UACGGAGGAUCCGAGCGUUAUCCGGAUUUAUUGGGUUUAAAGGGUGCGCAGGCGGCAUGUUAAGUCGGCGGUGAAAUUUUGCAGCUCAACUGUAAAAGAGCCUUCGAAACUGGCAAGCUUGAGUGUGGAUGAAGUAGGCGGAAUUUGUGGUGUAGCGGUGAAAUGCAUAGAUAUCACAAAGAACACCGAUUGCGCAGGCAGCUUACUAAACCAUAACUGACGCUCAUGCACGAAGGCGUGGGGAUCAAACAGGAUUAGAUACCCUGGUAGUCCACGCAGUAAACGAUGAUUACUGGCUGUUUGCGAUACAAUGUAAGCGGCUGAGCGAAAGCGUUAAGUAAUCCACCUGGGGAGUACGUUCGCAAGAAUGAA
rnacentral:rRNA from 1 species